CAUGCUAAAUACUUUACUAAGCUUGACUUGAGGUCGGGCUAUUAUCAAGUCCGCAUAGCAGAAGGGGAUGAGCAGAAAACUACUUGUGUAACUCGAUACGGGGCAUUCGACUUUCUAGUCAUGCCAUUUGGCUUGACAAAGGCACCGGCCACUUUCUGCACUUUGAUAAAUAAAGUAUUCCACGAUUAUCUCGACAAGUUUGUGAGUCUAUUGAUCUCGAUCAUCACCUCCGGCAAUCCGAAACUGCCAAUUGUCAACUUCUUUCUCGGUGCUCGCAUGGCUGUUAGCGCUCGCUGGCUUUCUUGCUUUCUUUGGCAGUCCCGAAUGUAACUACCCCCGGACCACCCAAGAAAAAACGAAAUUGCAAAUCAAAAGAAGUCGCAUUAGACAAACGAAGAGAAGGACCGUGCUUAACACGGAGAUGCGCAAAGUGAAAAAGAACCAACGAGGAUAAGGGAAGGAGUAGCAAGUAGAAGCAGGACCGGAAAAACGGGAAAGGAAAAGAGAUAAAUAGACACACAUGAAAGAAAAAAAGAAAAAGGUGUCUAAAAUCUCACCAAUUUCCCAUCCACACGAAAGAUCGGAUGUGGCUAAUUGGAAAUGUAGGUUAUUGAAUUGUCAAAUGCUUUUGUUAUGUACUUCGUCUUCGGUUUUGAAAAUGUAUUCUUUUAUUUUAUACGGACCCGACAUUUGAGUUCUUAUAUACUUUAUUCUUUUACCAAUCCAUCAACACUCGGAGAGCGAGUUGAACAAUAUUUAGCACAGCGGGGGCAACCUGCGGAAUAUGGGGAAGGGGGUUGCCUUCCUUACUCGGCGGGCAUGGGACUGGGCUCAAUCAAGCAGGCGGCAUAUAGAGAAGGCGGGUAGGUGUGACAAUCCUAACAGGUUUGACCAGCUUUUAUUUCGUUCGAACAGCUUCCACAUAUAAACAUAGAAUCCACUUUCCUUGUCUAACGUGCUCUAUGCAUACCUCUUUAUGUAGGCUGAAAGAGGACUACAUCUUCUCUACUUGGGUAUGUAGGAUGAAUGGGUAUCCAGUGAUGUGUACUUCUCUUCUCUCGCGUAUAGCACAACCUUGGUCACAAUUGAUAUGGCUAUGCCUAGCAAGGACCUUCAGACGAGUACUACCGGCUACCUGCUAGCGGCUAUCGGAAAUGAAAACAGACUAUGAGUGGCAAAGACCUUCUGUCAAUGAUUGACGCCUUUAGGCAAUGGCAAUCAGUUAUGACUGUUGCUUAUGGGCGUCUAUGUCUGGCGUAUAAUCGAAAAGUGAAUUAAUGUAUGUAAUGCAUCGUCUCAGUCCUUCCCUCUAUUCUAGGUAGGAACAUUCAAUUAUUCCGUAGCGGUAAGUGAGGUCGAGGUAGAGUGUUGUAGAGUGGAAUGGCGGGCUGGAUGCGGGCGAAUAGGUCAUAAUAUUAUCCAUCAAUCGAAUAACUCGAUUACCGGGCUACCCCAACCAACUACUAUCUAUGCCAUGAAUCGAAUCAAUCACUCACUAUGAAGCCUUCUUCCUUGUAUGGCCUUCCCGGGCAGGUGCGUACUGAAUAGCGUGUAUGGAUGUAAGCGUGAUGCGGGGACGUGGGGAUGGGUAUUGUCCGUAUAUAACAAGCAGAUGUAAUUCAAAAUUAAUAUCAGCAUUUCUUUUUUGUGUGGCCGUGAAUCAGUAUGCUGGUCUCAAGUUUUCCUUCCUGGUACUUAUUCUUUUCAAUGCGGGAGAAUGGGUCGAAUCUUGAAGAGGAAGCCUUGGUUGAGCUGUCAGAGGUCCGGAAGAAGCAUCCAAUCGGAAUUAGCUUACAGCAGUGACAAGCUAGGUGAUUGAUCCUUUGAUUUAGUCCUCCCAAGGGUGACCAUUAAGAAGAGUCCAAUCUGAGCGAUCAGACGUCCCUGGGUUCGGGUUCCGCUCCUUCUCAUUCAUAUUAAUGGAAGUUCUUUGGGCUUCCUUCUUCUCAUCUGGGAGCUGGGACUAAAACAAUUCCUCCCACAAGGGGUACGGCUUUCAUCCUUACACCGGGGAAAGCGGAUUCUUAAAAAAGGAAGUUCCGUACUCGGUUGACAGAUUCUUAGGCUCAAUCUCAGGUCUCCGUCUUUGCCUGGCAGUUCAAGGGAUUGGCUGUCAGGCUCGUUAAACCUUUACCGAGUUCCACGAGGAAGGUCCGAUCUCAGCAAAGAAAGACGAAUUGGAUGAAGAGGUCGAAUGAUGAGGAACUCGGAAAUACGCUCGGUAUGCAGAUCGCAUUACACUAUUGGUUGUUGAUCUUUCGUGGCGCGAGGUGCCUGUAUCCUACUCUGAGUUUCCUAAGGGUUAGUUGGCUUUCCCUUUCUCCAAGCCGACUCUUUUCACUGUGUGUGAGACUUCCUUCCCUGUGAUGAAUCUCUUGUCUCAUCUCCAAAUCCAAAAGGAUGAGAGGCGUCUGUCCGUCACUCCUAAUGGAAAGAGUACUCUCAUUAAAGCAGGGUGACAUAAGACAGUUGACCUCAGACCUCACACCAGAUUUCCUCUUCCCGAUCGCCCGUUGACAUCAGAUGCCCGGUUGGAACGAUUGAGAUCGUUUCCGACAGAUGAAAGUACUUCAACUACUGAAAGGGGAAUGGCUACUUCAGAUGAACAUCAUUAUUCUGCUUUACGGAUCUAUUCAAUUGAAAUUAAAGUUUCUUCUCGAGAUUGAAUUCCAAUCUCAGGGAUUCGCUACUAGCGCUCCUUCUAUCCUACUUCUUGGCUUAACACAGUUCGCUUACCCGAUUGGCUGGCUUAUAGCGCUAUGCGCUUGCCUUAUGCCGUAUACUUUUCUUUAUUGAGAUGAGAUCGGCUAUUUCCUUAUCUAUUUAUUUGCUUAUACUUGCUUAACUCAUACAGAAAAAGAUUAACUAAAGAUAUGGCGCACCACAUAGAGAUUGAUUGAUUGCACAGUUGAUUAAAGUGACCAAUAGCGAUUGAGAUAUAGAUCGCGAACACUCACUAAAGGAGGGCGAUAGAGACUCCGGACAGCUCGACCUCUCCCAGCCAUCCCUUACCAGCUCGACCGAGUGAGACCCUUGGCUUCUCGUUAACAACAAAGACAAAUAGGGGCCAGAUUUCGAUCGAUUUCAAGAGGACCCUUUGGGACAUGAUGGAACGUACACGACCAAUCAAGACCGCUUGUGGGAGUUGAGACCAGGCGGGAUAUUAUUAUUGAAUUUUUGAAAUUCUUUAUUCAUAUUCAAUUGAAUUUACUCCUUCAACCGAAAGAGAAAGCCUUACUAGAACUUCAAAUCAAUGAUUCACUUCCUUUCGUGCGCCUAUUUCCUUAUUUACCAUGGCUACUUCUUCGCUAGCCAAACCUUGAAAGAUCCGUUACAGGCAGAGAACAAGCGAUUGAAGACCGAUGGCCGGGAAGGGAAGAAGUCUUUCAAGGACCCGGCUUCGUGGACGAGAAAGAAUAGAAUCAAGGGCCAUGCCCGACCCGAGCUACUAGGCCAGGGCCAGAGGAGAGGAACUAUUUCAAGCAAGGAUGCUAUGACCUCAGACCUGAGACCGAUUGAAAGAUAUAGGAAUGAAUGAAUCCAAUGUCAUCUAUACCGUGUUUUUGGGCUGUCAUAAUGUGACAGUUUCGACUUCCAUCGGUCGACUUCUGUCGUCUCUGUCUAUUCCGUUUAGGGAAUGGGCUUAUUCAUUCCGAUUUCUGUAAAUACUUCUCCCCAGCCUCGGUCUAAAAAGCUCCUGCCCUUCUUGCGGGCUCUCAGUGAUAAAAUCUGGUUUUGGGAGUUGCCGGUGCGAAUACCUUUCUCUUGCUUUGAAUAAUUAGCUCAUGCCUUGUUGCUUGCUGUGCCCGGUGCGAAUCCCCUUCGUUCCUUUCUUUCUUUGCCGGGUCAAGGAGAUUGGUUGGGUUCUUUGGUUGCUUAUUCCACUUCUUUCAGUGGGAGGAGUUUCAUCAGCAGCAGCGAGGUCAAGCCAUAGGUACGCUUCAGUGCAAGCUCCGUCUUCGCAAGCGGUGGCCGACAGGCCCUUUGAAAUGAAUAUCCUUUCCGGCCCGGUACUAGAGGAGAGGGGAGAGCAGAACGUCCUCUGAGUCUCUCAACUGAAACUUUCACUGGAACAAGAACCUGACCUCAAGCCAACUAUAUAGAGGGCUUAAAAGCGCCUUGCCUCAAAAGAGAGAUAGAGCUCUGCUUCUUCUGCUUCUGCUUUUAGAGGUAUGAGCUAUUCUUCUUCUCUUUCCUUUUCUCUUAUAAAGAAUGGGUCUCUUCCCCUGGCCUUGUUGUCUCUAUCGAUCUCACAAGUCUCUCUGGUAUAGGCAAGGGCUCAUCUGUGAAUGAAUCCCUUUACUAUAUUCCUCUCCUCCUCCCCCAGUCUGGUCCCCUUCUUUGUAUCGGUGUUUGUUGCGGAGCUUAGGUCGAAAGGAGCUUUGGGAAAGUCCCCAACUGGUCUUGACCGACCAACUGCCGAAAAGCCCUUGCUUGGGUCAGCUCUUCGGGGGUCAAGUCUUUUGAAAAGCUUUUCUGAGGCCACCUUUCUUAGUAAAGGCUUUUGUUUGUGGUCUGCGAUGGGUCUAGCCCCGUGAGCCUCUCCAAACGUUCUCAAAUCGGCCUCUUUGUUGUUAUUGUUGCGGGCGUACGGUACUACGGCCUUUAUUAUUCCACUUUCUCAAAAUGUAGAGCAACGAAUCGAGAGUCUCUCGCUAUGUCCCCAUUCCUUUCUUCGAUUCUAUGGCCGAUCUUGUUUAAUCCAAAGCUGGUGCAAGCGAUCUCAUAGGUGGGGAACUCGAGAUAGGAAAGCAUCAAGCAAGACAAGAAAAGGCUUUUACUAAAGAAGGCUGGUUCUCCUCUUGUGAAUGAACCAGGAAGAGAUGGAAGAUGGGCAAAAAUGACACAGGAUGGAAAGAGGGAAGUAGACCAAAGCGGAGGAAAGAAGAAAGCUCAAGCAAGGGAGAAUGGAAUCAGACGUAAACCAAAGUCGGAGAGGCCUUAGGUAGUAAUGGGGAUGCCUUCAAUUCAGACAAGAGAUGACGCACGCUUCACAAGGAGGCUUGGAAAUGGCGUACUUAUUGCACCUGGCACUAAUAACUCGAGUGCCGCUGCUGCUACGGGGGAGAUUUUUGAAAAGACAGGAAGCGCUAUUGGACCUGGACCCUUGCCAGUUAAUAGUGGAGCCUUACCCGAUUCCAAAAGGGAUGGAUUCCCGGGAAGGCAAAUGCUACCUUGACAGAAGACUUUACUAAACUUCCAUAACCUUGAAUGAAAAAGUAGAUAUUUCGAUAUAUCAUUAAGGGAAGAACUCUUCCUUUACUGAUUGGAAUGAUAUUCCUUUUAUUGCUUGCACCUACCAGAAGGAGGAGAGAUCCUUAAUUACUGAUAUCGAGAAAGCAAGGACGCUAUGAGUGUUCGCUAAUGUCAGCCCUUUGAUUGCUUACUUCGCUAUCCAAGCGGGAUGAGACUUUGCGAGAGUUUCCAGAUGAGCAGGAAGGGCUGGAGGACGUAUUACCGGAGGAGAGGACAUAUUGAAUGGAAAGAACGAAAGCGACGUACGUACUGGAUUGACCAGCGUGUGCCAACUACUCUACUUCCCUAUUUCUUGCUUUUUAACCUCCCCUUAUUGGUGCACUCUUUCCCCCAAUUCACCGAUAGAGAAGAAAGAGAUAAGCAAUGACCGGACUAGACCAAUGAAAGCGGACCAAGGUUUUUAUUCGUUAGCCAAGCGCGCCUAUUACAGCGCCUCUAUUACAGAAGGGAAAGCGAUGUGCCCUAUUGACCAGCCGAAGAACAUCCUUAUAAAAGAAUGAAUGGGAAGCAGGCCCGGUCUAUAUUGCUAGAGUUAUGCUUAGUUCACCCCCCUCCAUUCUUAUAUUUAAAUUCCGUCUCUAAGCUUCCCCCUUAGUGCCUGCUGAGACUUAUUUCCUCUCGACUAUAGUUGAAUGGAAGUUUCAUUUCCUAAGUCUCAAAUAAUUUCUUUUAUUGAGUCCCCAUAGUGCAUUCCCCUACAUAGUCUGUAGAUUAAUUAAACACUAAUAAGGCUUGCAAUCAAUAUAAAAAAGAGAAUUCCAGAUUGAAGAUCUCUUGACCCAUAUACGAUCCAGUUCUACAUCUUAGCGCUGAACUAAUGAAUAGAGAUUGAGCUUCACUUCGCGAGUCGGGAAUGGCAUCAUUUAUUAAAAACUGCUAGCGUUGACAAGAGAUGAGCUAAAGAGGUGGCCGGGCAGUUGACCAGGCCCUACCACAUACAGACAGCAAGCAAGAGCUGCGCCGGCUUAUCCGGAAAAUCUCAUUGUUGCCACCCUAAAUGCUACUACCUCUUUGCUAAGCACAGGAAUGCUUGAUCGAGAAAAGCAAGCAAAGAAGCAGCAGGAUACGGAAUAUGAAGGGGCUGGAGGUAGAGCCAAUGACCAAUUGAAGAGUUACAGACUACAGUAUAAAGCCCUCAAUCAUGCUCUUGCCAGUGGCAUAGAUUGUAUAUACUCUCGCCGAUUAAGGAAAAUUAUGCGCUCCACGAAAAAACAUAGGGGGUCGUCCCUGGACUUAAGGAAGGAAAAACAAAAAGUGCCCCUAUGACUCUGGUUCUAGUGAAAGCGAUGAAAGUAUAGCUGUGCUCCAGUUUUUCGGGUAAAAGUUCUACGGUGAAGAGCCCGGUCAAGGCGACCCUAUUAAAGAGAACAUUCGGGACAUCAAAGCCGAUGCGAUGGUAAUCUCGUCCUUAGUUGCCGAAUCUAAUGGAGGUUUCAAUCCGACGGAUCAACCGUAAUUGGCAGGUAAAACGAGGCCUCGACGGAGAUGAUGGAUGGGAACUCCUACUCUGACUAUAGUUGCGAUCUCUAAGCGGGAUUUUCAGUCAUCUAUCCCUUUUCUUUCCCUAGCGAGUGAAGAACGAGUGUUGAGCGAGUGAAGUGCCCCAUAAGCUAUAAGGGCGAGCUAUAUGUAUAAAUUCCGUGAGCAGCGAUUGAACUGAACGUUCCAAGUGACCUGACCUCAUGAGCUGGACUCGAACCAGCACCUCUGGGCAAAAGACAGACUCAGCGAACUUCCCUUUGAUUCGAAUCGUGCCUUUAUAGGUCUACUUUUCAUAUUUCCGUAUAUUAUAUAAAGAAGGGAGUGACGUCUGACCCAUUACUUGACCUCCGGCUAGCUCUAAAAAGACGCUACCCGAUGAAUGCAAUAACUUGACCCUACCUUUUAGGCAUAUUCGGGGAAGAGCCCUUUUUCACUCCUACUUAACUAUAGAAAGUUCAACUUCCCUUGCUUCUUCCGACUUGAGAUUCGAAAUAGAAAGCUAGUCUUUGUAUAGUAUCCUUAACCAUCUUCCGAAGUUUUCAAGACCGACUCUUUCAACCGCUCAGACAUACAUCCCCUAUACCCCUCCCCUAGGCCUUACUCUUUCAUUACGCCAAUCAUGCAAGAGUUUGCUAUUUUAGAUCUUUGGGCUUUAUACCCUUUAGAUCAUUAAAACAUGAGAGGGCCUCUUGGAAUUACUUUUGAUUCCAUGGGAUUUCAUAUCCAGGAUCAUUGAAUCCAGUUGUUCUUCACCGUAGAUGCCUUCAAGCAUCUCGCCGAUAGGUUCGUGCUGCUGCCGAUUUUGGCAUUCGGUUAUCAGCUCGAAUCUUAUGGAUAACCUCAACCGCCUCGUCGGCUUGCUUCUCCUGGUAUUCCAUGUAGUCACGCCAUUCCUUCGCGCUGAAUUCCCGUCGCUCAACCGUAGGAAACAAUUCUCCAUCUUGGGAGUCAGACUUGCAAUCAAUCCCUUUUCGUCUUAGGCGCACAACUGCGCACUCUCCGAAACGGAAAGAUAAAGACCACUUUUAAAAGUACCAGCCAACUCCUCAUCGGAGGCUUCGUCGGUGUACUCUGGGACCCUUCUCAUCUGAGAGGGAUUCUCAACGCUCUUCCUCUUCAAUCCUAGUGAUUCGGAUGUUGGGAUCAUUGAGAGUACCUUCCGACCAAGCUUUUAUGGCCGUGAUCAUCCUCAUUGUGGUCUUAUUAUCCACUGUCUGUCGACGCGCUUCCUUGUUCUGUAUGAUGACCCAAUCUUCCGGUUUAGUAACCACCUUUGGAUGAUCAAUGGCCACGGCUACUAUCGUCCCAGGAGGACCUAUAAGGAGACUAGGAUCGACAAACUCUUGAUCAUCCGUCAGGACAUUGACUCCCCCAUGGUUUGGAAGAGGAUUCGUGUUCACAUUGGGUUGGAGUCGGGCUGCCUCCUGAGUCUUCACUGCGUUUGUAUCCAGCAAGUCCCGGAUCUUGUGCUUGAGCAGGAAACAAGACUCUAUAUCAUGCCCAACUUGACCGGAAUGGUAUAUGCAUUUCAGCUCCGGAUUAUAUGACCUGGGGAGAACGUUAGGAGGAGGUAAGGCUGGCACAGGAGUCACUUGCCCUGAUGCGAGUAAGCGAUUGUAGGCCUCUGCCAUUGUGAUAGUAAGAGGUGUGAAGAUUCGCCUCUUUUUCUCCAUCUGCCUUUGUUGAUUUACCCGAACAGCAUUGUUCACUGGAGGCGCAGCCGGCGGGGGUGCUGGUAAGUUCUGCACCGCCUGGGCAGGAACUACUUGAACAGGAGGAAUGUACGCCUGAACGGGCGGAGGAUACUGGUUCGCUCCGUAAGAGGCGGUCGGAAGAAUGGUCGCGAUGUCCCCCUCCUUCUUCUCAGGCUUCCUGGUCAUACCGGGCUUCUUAACGUAGGAGGACGACUCUGCCCCGGCACGGGAGGUAUUGUCGGUAAUACGUCCUGAUUUCAGUGCGGCCUCAAUUGCUUCGCCUUGGCGUAUGAUGGCGUCAAAACUCUGGCCUACGCUUACGCACAUCCUUUCGUAGUAUACUCCUUUACAAGUGGGCAAGAAUCGCUGUGACUUUUCUAUGUCCGAGAGAGGAGGGUCUACUUGAGCUGAGGAUUCCAUCUACCUGAGGGCGUAUUCUCUGAAUGACUCUGUAGGCUUACGACUCAUUCCCAUCAGAUAGCACCGGUCAAUAGUUAGCUCACAGUAAAGACCAUACUUUUUGAGAAAGGCGUUUGUCAGGUCAGGCCAGGUACGAAUUUGGGGUAUCUCCAGUCUGGCGAACCACUGCAGAGCUGAACCGGAGAGACUACGCUGGAAUAGUUGCAUGAGAAGCUUCUCAUCAUUUGAAUGCCCGCAGAGGGCUCCUACGUAGAGUCUUAGAUAAGCGACCGGGUUCCCCGUCGUACUUGGCAAAAUCGGGAACUUUGAACUUAUCCGGCCAUGGAUGUUCAGGGUAGAAACAGAGCUGGGUAAGGUUCAUGUUUCCAUAGCGACUGAUCCCUUGCACCGACUUGAUAGCCUCCUUCAUGGUCUUGAUCUCUUGAGCUACCCCAUUGUCUUUUGGCUCAGGCAGAGAAGUAGCCGUGGGAAGGAGGGACGCUUCUUCACCCUCAGUUUCCGCAUUGACGAGACCUGGAGUUGAGGUAUACGCUGGAAGUGCAUUCGGAAGUACCCCAGCGGCCGUGGGAACAUGGAGAGCUCCUUGAUUUGGUGGAAAUUGAACAACCGGAGGUGCAUACUGUGCCGCGAACUGCACUUGAUGUCUAGAGAACUAUUCUUAUAGGACCGGACUAGGGAACAACUAUCCCACACCGGAGGAACGGAAACACCCCUUUAACAAGCAAGCUACGCACCUUUGAGUUCUCGGGGUGAGGUGCGAAGCUAGUUCCCGAGUAAGUAGCUAAAGCAAGAGGGCAAUCAAGCAAGCGAUCGUAGGUACGCUAAGUAACUUGUUAUAUAAGCAGAUUGGUGUGGAACUAGAUCCUCUGCUAGAGUAACAGUUGUUGUGUAGCCAGGUUCACCCGCCCAAUGCCAAUGAUACGAAGAGUUAGCUUUGCUACCCUGGCUCAGAGAAAAGUCUACUUGCUUGCUAGAGAAGGUGACCCUUUCGUUUUCGGGUUUGCUUUUUAGUUUGAAAAGAGAUUCUUUUAGUGUUCCGUGUACCUUAGGUCGAAAAGAAAAAAGAAAGAAAUAUAUAUAUAUAGAAUAACAAUAUACAGAAUUGCUUAAAUAACUAAGCGCGUCCAAAAUCAGAGUCACGAUCUACUAAAGGGCAAGUAGCUUGAUUGGUUCGAAUCCAAUUCGUGAGAUGGCUUUCGAAAGGCCUAUCUUUUUUUUUCCGGUAUACCGCUCUCCAGAGCGAAUGAACAUAAGUCCAACCUAAUAUCAUGAAUAUCCUUCGCCCGUUAUCUCCUCAUCUUCCUAUUUAUAAGCCACAGCUCACUUCGACGUUUCCCAUUUUCCGUAGAUCCGUCUUUUCUUUUCUCUUACUUGCGAUUGUUUUCAUUUUCGUUUAUUCGAUUAUUCUCAUGAUGGGGCUCGACCCUAACCUAUUUACUAUUAAAGUAGAAUCAAUGAUCCUAGCGAAGGGACUCUCCUUUUUGUUCCAAAGGAUCGGAUGUCUCUUUUUGGCAGAAAUUACGACAGUUGUUUUUCUGGACGAGGUCACUCUGGCUAACAUGAUGGUGAACUCCGGCGGGGCGGAUUCUUCUGCUUCUGAAGGCACUUCGGGCACAAAGCCUCCUGUUCCGGCAACCCCAGCCUCAUCCGAGAAUUCUUCCCUAGGGGCCGCGCCGCCACAGGCUGCUCCUGCGCUUUCCGCCGAGCGGACCGAGGAGCUCCUUCAGGAGAAUUUGAGAGAAAGAAAGGGCGAUCUCGGGGAAGGCCAAAGCAUGUGCUCAGUUCGCGAAGGGGUAGAACAAGACUUCAACGUAUCCACCACAGGCCAAAAGUUUGACUUAGUCAAACAACUUGAGGUUGAAAAAGAAGUUGUUCAGGGGAAACCCGCCCCGGCGACAAAUUCCGCCUUCAAUGAAAUAAGGGAUCAUGAAGGGCAAGAUAGCUCGGUAGAAGGGAUUCUAGAUGCCCUCUAAUCCCAUUAUUUACUGAUUGAAAAGAAGAUAGACAAGGAAGAAGAAGUUGGAUUACUUACUUGAGAAAGCAUUGUUAGAAUAGAUGAAGUGGGCGAGAGUAGCUUGCCGGGGGUAGUCGUCUUGGUAUUGGAUCCGUUCUUCUUUCGUACUCCUAAGGGCGGUACAAAGAAGUCCCAGCGAACUUCCGUUACCCGAGCUAAUGAUAGAGGCAAGAACACUUUCCAACCAGGCCUUACUAUAAGCAACCUCACAGAUCCAACUCAAUCUUUUACACCGAUGUAUCGUACUCUCUCGACCAGGUCAUCAUAAGAAAAGACUGCUAAAUCUUUCCGAAGUGAGAGAAGGAGGGAAGGCGCGCUACAACUAACAUAACAGCCAGUUGAAAAACUAGCUAGGCUAGCGCGCAAUGGCUUUCUCUGAUAGGGGCUCGCUUCUUCAAGCUCCGCCCAACCUAUACAAGGUGCUGCUCGCUUUCUCUCAGCCACUAGUGACUUAUGUAGUGGUCGGCAUUCCUACGUGCUCCUCCUUGCCCCCCUACUUAAGAAUCCAAAGGUAACCUUUGGAUGUUGUCGUGACGCUUUGGUUACGAAGGUUACCGGGGUCUAGGUUUAUGGAUGGAUUCAGUCAGCGAAAGUCCCUCCAACUCAAUCAAUAUCAACAAGAUGUCGUGACCAGUUAGGCUUGGUUGAUUUUGUCAGAAAAGAAAGUUUCGGGGGUUCAUUGAUUAGUACACCUCCGGUGCUGGUAAGGUCGGGACCGUGGUCGUCCGUCUCCGGUUUGCCGGCCGAUAAGAUCUCUGAGAUUGACCAGCCAGCUGGGUUGGUUUGGCUAUUCUUUUCUAUUGAAAAGGAGUCAGCUGUCUGCGCGAGUCACCUUCUUCUAGGCUCCGCUGGACGACACGGCAUUUUCGUUCAAAUAUAGGCCGGCCGUACUUGUGAUGGUUCCCAAGGAUCCAAUAUGACCACUUAGGUCUACGUUGCCACGAUAUUGUUCUAUGGACGCGGGCGGGCAAGUUCGGCCCGGUUUUUUUGGUGUCGUAGGGGAGGGAUUGACCUUUCUAACGCAUAUUCAGUCGUACCGGCAUGGCCCCACUGAUUUGUUUUCGAUCGGAGCAUCAAGCAGCGCAACCCGGUUCUACUUGACUAAGCCCCGUGCUCGUCCAAGGAGGGAGUUUGCUUUACCCAACUCCCUUUUUUUUUUGAUAACAAGGCAGAAAGCCCCGACCCGACAUUCAUUAGUUUCGAAUGAAGAGUGCCCUGCCCCAGGAAGCACCUACUCCUAUCAAAAUGAAAAGCGAGACUUUACUAAACAAGCAAGAAAAGCCCUUUCUAUCUUAUUAGUAAAGCGCUAACGCGCGCCCCUGAAAUCAAACUCAAGUUUCGCCGAUAUGAUAUUAAGAUUUUAUUAAUGUGCUCAAGCAACCUAUCUUACUAAUAAUAAUGAAGGGCCCUAUCUAAGCCCUAUCGUUGUAAAGUUACAGCUCGAAAGCCGGCCUUACCUUCUAUUAUAAUUAUAUUAGUAAAGGGCGUUUAGGCUUUACUAAUAUAAUUAUAUAGGGCUUUUCUCGCUUUCUUCGCAUGCUUGAGCGCAUUAAUAAAAUACAUAUAUCAAAAGGCUUUCCUUGAGUUUUCAAUAAGGGGCGCUAACGCCCUAUCUAUAGUAAGGGGCCUUUUCA
rnacentral:rRNA from 1 species